AAUAAACAAACUCUUCAACUCUGCCCCACCUACUCCAUGGUCCUCCCCUGAGUAAGUCCUCCCAUGACCCCUGUCCUCCCCCGGCUGUACUUCCUUCUCCUCGGCACCCCUGAGACACAUUUGAACAGGUUGCCUCUCACCGUAGGCUUUCCCUCACAGUCAGGGAGGGCAUCUACCUUUGCUGAGCUCACACAGGACCCUCUCCAGGCCUUGUUAGGAGCCAGGGCCCCAGGGACUGAGUGCCUAUCAAAUCUAAGUCUGCUGUAGUAAGGGCAGGAGAUGGGGAAUAUUGAAUUUCGUUGGAGACUGCCCAGGCCCUUCCUGGAUAUGCUCCAGGCACGCAUGCGUCUGGACAAUGCCAGCUGGCAAGGAUCUUUGUGGCCUAGAGAUGUCCUUUAUCAUCCCCAGUGACCUCUGACCUGUCUCCCUUACUCCUGCCUCUCUUCCACGAUUUCCUGUUGUUCUCUCUGGUCUUCCCUCAUGCUUAGGGAGGAGGGACAUCUGGCUGGCUGAUCUUAUAGGAAUGAUAUUCAUGUCUAUGUCAUAGUUUCAGUGUCUCUUCUCUGUUUUGCUCUCUUUGGGACGGCCUGAGACAGUCCCGUGCACUGGCAGCCUCUCCCUGCAUGAGAGUGGCGAGUGCUUGCUGUGUGAACUUUGGUAGGAGUACUGGCCAGCCUUCAAGUCAGCAUCAGCGAGUCAGGGGAAUAUGGGGAGAAAGAGUGUCUGGGAGCUGCUUCAGGGCAAGAUGGGAAGGCCUCCAUAGAACCGCUCAGGUUCUGUCUUCGUCUUGGUUCUUUUCAAAUGAUGUCAUUUCAAAUGAUGUCAGUUCCAUGAUGUCAUGACAGAGGAGGAUGCUGCCUGCUCUGUGCCUAAUCCCUUUCUCGGGGUCUUCCCUGGGAGUAGGGUUGAGCUGAGGCCGCAGUGGAGGCAGGGACAGGGGAGUGUGGCUCUCUAGCCUCUUGAGCAUCUUCGUCUGUAGAAUCUGAGGAUUCCAGAGCGGGUAUGGGGAGCAGAGCGUGGCUUUGGGAAGGGUGCAGGGCGUAGAAAGGGUAGAGAGAUGAGGUCCCUUCUGUGUGACAGGCAAGCUUCAUACACCCUUGGCAGAGGCGCCAGUCAGGGUGAGGAGCCUUCCGGGAGGGGCCUGAGGACUGGAGGAAGAGGAAGAGCUGUGGGGGUGGGGUAGAGGAAGGGUGCUCCAAGUACCAGCUGGGCGGUGCAGAUCCGUGUGGGAUGGUGACUGAGGUGACAGGAGCUGGCAUCACUGGAGUGUCGACAGGUGCUGUGGAGCUCAAAGGAAUCCUGACUCCCCAGGAGCCCAGAGGCUGCAAACCAAGCAUUUCACCACUGGGCUAAAGUCCUUUGGUGGCUCCGUGUGCGCCCCUCCACUUCCCAGCUCUUCAGUUUCUUUCCCCUGACAUUCUACCCCCUGUAGCCACACCUGGAUAGUGGCGAGCGGCCACGCCACGUUCGACAUGGGACAUCUCAGACGUGAAACAUUGACAUCACGCAGCUUGACUAGACAGUGUUCAGAGCCUCUGAGAUGAGUCAGGAUGGUGUGGAUCGCUGGAGGCUAGCUACAUCCUCAUACAGGGCAGGCUGUGAGGAUCUCGAGACUGGAGGAUGGGUGGGUGCUACGGGUACCAUUGGCCCAGAGUUGGGACAUCUGACUUCUUGUCUGGUUCUCUGCUGCUUAGCAGCUGUGUGAUUUGGUCAAACGCCUGGUCUCUCUAGAUUCAUAACAUUAGGCUAUGCUGAACCCUUUUUUUUUUUUUGAAAAAUUUAAUAGUUUGGUUCAAUAAGGGCUCCUUAGCCAGUUGUCACUGCCCCCUGCUCUGCCAGGCUCACAGGCUGCAGUGUGAACCAGGGCCCAUAGCCAGGGAACCCUGGGAAGGGCCGGCAUGCCCGCCUGUGUAAUGAGGGCAGACCUUAAGGGCUGGGGAGGCCGCAAGGCUAAUUGCGCUUUCCCUGUCCUCAACCCACUUAGCCCAAUUUGUAGUUAUUUAUUGUUGGCUGUUGACGUGUUUGUGUCUGCCUUUCGGCUGAGCCAAGAUCUGCAAACACAGGGGUGGGUGAGGGCUCAAUUCCUUUGAUGCCACACUUCUUCAUAUAGAAUCUGGCACACAGUAGGUCUUGGCACUAGUCACUUCUAAGCAAAAGGUCGUCUUGUACACAGAGCAUUCGUUCUGCUUUCUGGAACAGAGACCUAAUCACCAAGAGCUGUGGGAUAUCUCGGAGUCCCAGACCCUGAGUGGUCUGUGCAGGAGUCUGUGUGUGGACAUAGUGAGAGGGUAGCCUGUGAACCCUGCUUUGCAGUAUCUGGUUGUUUGCUUGCCUGGGCUGAUUUGGAUAAAUCCCAUGUAGACAUAGGGUCCUUGUCCUGGAGUCUCAUGAAGGUCACAAACAACCAACUCUCAGAGGCCCGUAUUAUACUGAGUCCUAAAUAUCCUAUCCCUUGUGUUUCCCAUCUGGUAUCUGGGGAACCCUGUUAUCUCCUUGUCAUAGCUGAAAUCUUGGUGGUUGGCUGAAUAUGGCAGCUCACGCCUUUAAUCCCAGCACCGGGGAGGAACUCUGUGAGUCUGAGGCCAGCCAGAGCUAUGUAGCAAGUUACAGACCAACUAAGGUAACAUAGUAGCACCCUGUCUCAAUAAAUAGAGGCAAAUUAAAAGAAACAAAAAGCUUUGUGGUAGAGAAGGGGAGGGUGUCUCUGCAAGCUUCCUCCGAUGACUAGAAGUCUGGGUGGGUCUAGAAUGCAGAGAAGCAUGUACUUGGGACCGAGCAGGGAUAGCUCAGACGUGCUAGGCUCAUCCUUUGUGCAUACAGGACCCAGCAUGGAAUAUUUAGCUUUCCCUGGUCCAAGCUUCAACUGUCCAGUCCUCCCUUGGGAAAACCAGCCCUUGGCCAGUUCUUCAGGUGCUGGGUUCAUGCCAGAGGCCUCUUGGCAUAAUUGUCAGGCUUGCCUCUGGGUGGAGAGGAGCAGGAAGAAGGAUUGCACAAGGGGAAACUGGCAGAGGGCCCCUGCUUCCGCUGGCUGCUGAUGCCUUCAGGGGAGGGAUGAGGGGCUGCAGGGCAGCAUAGCAUUCCCCAAUAGCAUCCUUCCAUCUGCUUGCCCAGUCAGGAGGAAAUGACAGUCUGAGAAACAGUGUCUCCGGUGUCCAUCCCUGUGCCCACUUUGCGUGCCACCCACUAUGUCCAGCGCACGUCCAGCCCCGAGGAUGACUCCUGCAGGACACACACACACACACACACACACACACACACACACACACACACACACUCAGAACUUGCACCUUAGUGCUGGUUCCAUCUGUUCCUUCCUGCAGGAAGUCUUCUCUGAGACUCCGCUCCCGAUGCAGCCUUCGCUACAGCAGGGGUAUUUCUUCCGUCCAUGGUUCUGUAGCUUUGGGUACAGUGAGUGAGCAGUUGUGGGUUGGUAUUGGUUUCUAUGACUCCUUCGGGCAAUGGUCUCUUUCUUCCCUCUCUGAGGACCCCACUUCCCUUCUCCAAGCGCUUCUGGAAUCUGGACCAUCAGAGAAAGCACCAAUCCUGCUCUCCCCUGCUCUUUGGUCAGGAAAUGGUUUUGUGAUUCUGUCCUCGGUGCAAGCCCUGGGCCAAGCAGUAGGACAAGACCAGGCAGAGUUUGUGGCUGGAGAUGCACCCUCUAACCCCAGGAGUGAGCAUACUGCAUGGUCCCCAAGACCAAGACUUUCUGAGUUCCAGGAUCGCUUUCUAUCUAGCCUCAGCUUCCAGCCACCCCUGUCUGGCUGGUUCCAGCCUUCUCACCUUCCCCACCCCCUCCACAGCACAGGGGAGUUGUUUAGGAGUUGUCCCUCUCCCCCGGGCUGCUUUUAGAGUGCAACAAAGAGUCAUUGGGAGGUGGACAGCUGACAAAGGAGACUGGGGGAGUGGUGGGCAUGUUGGAGAUGCUUAUUUGUAAGCCCAAAUCUCUCCCCCAAGCUCUGGAGUCUGCCCUUUAUCUGGCCUGAUAAUAGACCGAAACCAUGCCAGGUGGCAGCAGCCUACGGUGACACUAGGCUCUGCUCCAACUGACAAGCUGGACAGAUCUGGUAAAGAGCAGCUAGGCGGGGAGCCACCAGGCUCUAGGUAGCUCACACGGAGGACAGUAGUCCUCAGUGCCCAUAUAGGAGAUGUGCAGAGGUCUGGAACCUGAAGCCUCAACUCCAGUUCUUGGGUCUCUGUGUUCCUAGCAUUGACAUGGUCCCAGCAUCUUCAUGGUCCGCCCUCGAGUGUUUAUGACACCUGCUUUGCCACUAGUGUCCUGCUGCUGCUAGGCAUCUGGAUGGCCUCCUCUUCAUCCCCUAGUGUCUCCCCAUUGACAUCUGUUGGGGAUGCAGAGAAAUGUGGGAAUUUCCACAGUAGCUGGUAUGUAAAUGCCAGCCUGCUCAUGGCCUCUUCACUGUGUCCCAGGAAGAAAGUAGGAGUCCUUUCUUGUGUCUCACAAUUCUUAGGUCAGUGUUCAAGCAUGCUACCAUGUCCAGACAGGCCCAGUGCUACUGCACCCCAUUUUGUAGCACCCAGCUUCUGCCCCUACUCCAGCCCCCAUCAUGUUUAGGGGCUCAAUUCCUCUGUUCACUUCUGAGUUUCUGGAGGGAGUUGGGAGGCAGGGAUAAAAUAUGAGCUUGGCAUAGACCGAGGAGAGGUGCUGAAGGGUCCUGGGAUGAUGCAGGCAAGAGGGCGUGACCGAUGGGUGCAGCUGGGUUUCAGAUAUGUCCUGCAAGACUGGGCAGCAGGAAUCUGAUGACCUCAGUUCUUCUCUGAGGUGCCUUCGGCUGUGUUGAGAGAGGACAAACAGCACCCGGUACGGCUGGAAUCUAAUGACUGUUUGCAGUGAACUAUUCCUCCACAUGGGGUCUGUGUGGUCAGGCUAUCUCUCUGCAGUCUGUGUAUCCUCAUGUAAUAGGAGCCCAGGCUGGGCUUCCUACCCACCUAUUGGCCCCAGGGCCCUGCAAACUGAUGGUAGCAGAUGAGGAGAGGAAGGCAGUGACACACAGGAACACGGGAGCAACACGCCUCACCCUGUCUGUCUCAGAUCUCUGCGGUGUGCACAAUCUCACAGGGGACAGCCCUAGAGACACCCACACUCCCUCAUAGUCCUCAAGGCCCAGGCCUGCAUGUGCCUUUCAAGUCCUUGAGGGACCUUACCUCCACUGCCUGUAGACAGCCCCUUCCAGGCUUAGGGAACUGAAGGUGGCCUGCGUGCAAGCCUCACAGGUUUUCCACAUCCCUGUGACCAUCCACAGGGUGGAUACUGUUUUCCUUUAGCUACUGGAGAUGUCAUGGUGCUGCACCUCAAACCACUUACCCAAGGUUAGCCAACUUGGUUGACAGAGUAAUAGUAACCCCACUCCUCACCCCACCCAGUGAUGUCUGUGUCCUAGUCAGAGCAAAGGGGACUUGGUCGAUGUAAGGGAAGGAUUUGAGUUGGGGAGGCAAACCUGGCUUAUCUGGGUGGGCCCAGGGUCAUUUCCUGAGCCCUUUAGAUUGCAGAUGUGGUGAAGACCUCCCUCUCGAAGCUGGAGGAACCUAAGGAUUGUGGCUGGCAGUUACCUUACAAGGUCACGAAACAGCCUGGCUAGCGGACAUCCUGACUUUAGCCCACCGAGAUUCAUGUCAAACUUCUGACUUUCAGGACUGCAGAAAUGAAUAAAAUUUGUGCAAGAUAGUAAGUAAAACACGUGGGAAGCCAUGGACCUCGUGGCGAUUUUUAUAGCGGCAUCAGGAAACGAGUGUCCAAGACCCCGUAAGCGGCACAGCAAGAGACUGACCCUGGAUUUGGUUAGAUAAGCUCUGCCUAGUUGUCUGUCUGUCCUCUCUGCAGUCCACAGGGGAUGGAGAAGUGCUGUGAGAGAAAGGGACAGGAAGUGGACCACACACUGGGGGAGAGUGCCAACUCCUCUGAGCCCCAUCUCCUUGCCAGUCUCCUGCCAUGGAGGUCAGGAGGCCUGAAAACCUGGCCACGGUGACCCAUUUUGAUUUUGCAAGAGUUUUAGUGGGGAAGGGUAGGAGCUGGCCUUCAGGGGGUUGCUUGGAUUCUAUUUCUAGUUUGUAAGCUAUUUGUAGUAGAGGUAGUGGGGGUGGGGGCAUGUGGGAACCUCCUGUUGGAUGUGUGUGUGUGUGUGUGUGUGUGUGUGAAUGUGUGAAUGUGUGUGUGAAUGUAUGUGUGUGUGAAUGUGUGAAUGUGUGAGUGUGUGUGUGUGAAUGUAUGUGUGUGUGUGAAUGUGAAUGUGUGUGUGUGAAUGUAUGUGUGUGUAUGUGGGUGUGAAUGUAUGUGUGUGUGAACGUGAAUGUGUGUGUGAAUGUGUGAAUGUAUGUGUGUGAACAUGAAUGUGUGUGUGAAUGCAUGUGUGUGUAUGUGUGUGUGAAUGUGUGAAUGUUUGUGUGUGUGUGUGUGAGUGUGUGUGUUUGCUCCCCUGUGUGAACACGAGUGUGGGUACCUAGCUUGUCCUCCGGGUGUGUGUCUGUUCACAUUCCCUCAUGAGUAGACACGUCUCAGCAUCUGCUACAGCCCACCUCUGGGUGUGAACGGGCGAGUGUCCGCUGAUAUCCCCCCCCCCGUAUGGGAAUGUGUGCCACCAUUGUGCACGUGGGUGUAGAACAUGUGUUUGAAUGUGUGGAGGAGAUACAAGUGUGCCUUUACACCCCUAAGUGGAGGUGAGGGUGGGGGUGCCUCCACUCACGCCUCUGCUCGUGAGCGAGUAUCUGGGUGAGUGUACGUUUCUCUUUGUGUGCAUGUGUGCAUUUGUGUGGACCCAGGGCCGUCCCCUCCCCCACGCGGCGGCAUUGCCUCACCCCGUGACACAGCCGCUAAUGACUAUUUGCUAUUGUCUGUGCAUGGUGGCAUCACCUGCUCUAAUGACAGUCUCCCUGCCUAAUGACUUGGCUCCUGCCCCAUUAUUUGUCAGCCAUAGGGCCACUGGCCUGGUGGCUAGAGAGAUGUUGACUAGCUCCAUACAUUUCCUGCUGGGUGUCUGUGGGGGUGGGGGCAGCACCGAUUCCACCCCCUCCCACAGCCCUCAGGGUGCUCGCGUGGGCCAGGAUUUCAGCUGGCAGGUAGCAUUCCUAGGCAGAAAGCCCCAGGUGUGGGCUCUGCCUUCUUUCUGGGCAGGGCUGGGUGUCUGCUGCUGAGCUGAUGAUAAUUCUUUCUCCGCUGCCCCUCCCGACAAGGUGCCCUGGACCUCAGCAGGCAACCUGAUCUCCUUCCGUCACCAGACAGUGCCUGCCAACACAAGCAGAGAUGUCCUUUCUGAGAAGGCUUCUCUGAGCCCAGAUGCUCUGGUCUGGGACAACCUCUGAGGAGCAAGGGGGGUGUGGAACUGCCUGGGAGUUCUUGAGACCCUGGGCAAGUUCCCUUGUAAGAAGGCGGCCAGCCCUUCUCCUUGUAUCUCAGUUAUAACUGAAAUGAUGUUAAAGUGGCCUCUGGAUCCUGAAGGAGGAAGCAGAAGGUUUCUUGUUCUUGCUUGCUGCCCCUUCAGUGAACGUAUAGCCUCUUGUUUGUAUUCUCAUGGCUUGGAAGUGGUUUUAUCUUCAUUACCCUUCUUACAGGUUUGCUUCCCCGACUUGGCGUUUGCUCAGAUGGCAGGGGAGCCCAGGACCAUGCCUCGCUCAUAGAGAUUCGCUAAACGUUUCCCCAGUCUGGGAGAUGCACACCCGGCUGUAGAUGUGGGUCCUGAACUGAGUGCCAAACUCAUCUUACAUCUUCACAGUCUCCCUAGGUCUUGACCCAGCGUAAAGGGCUUCUGGUGCUCUAGUGACUGGGAGGAGGGAGACGGUGUGCUGAGAGGCUGUCACAGAGGGACAGUAAGGGUGACUUUCUCUCUGCACCCUCAGCUUAUGAGACCUUAUAAGUAAGGAAGGGAGGAAGGAGCUGAUGUGACGUGCAGGCUCUCUCACCUGUUGAGUUGGUGUCCCUGUCCUGGUGGAAGCACUUACUCCCUUGAGCUGGUGGGAGCACUUACUCCCUUGAGCUGAUGGGAACACUUACUCCUUUAAGCUGGUGGGAACACUUAACUCUCUUGAGCUGAACCUUGCUCCCAUUACCUGCAACAGGAUUCCUCAAAUGUUUGUUGGUGACUCACUGGAGGGUCAUGAGGAUGGAGAGCUCAUGUAUCACAAAGCACAGUUUCAUGACAAUACGUAUGUGCCGGCCUCUACGUAAAGUAUAUUCUGUACUGUGGGCUGACAAGAAAUAACCCGUGACAGAUAAUCUGCCAUUUGAGGGAAGGACUAGGGACAGUGGGGACUUCCCUCCAGAGUCUCUGGGAAGCCAGAACUCUAUAGUCUGUCCUGGUGUGGCACCUCCAGCAGAGGCUCACCCCUUCUUACCCCAAUUCUCAGAACCCCUUCUCUCCACAUUUCCCCAGAGAAGGUCUGGUUUGGCAUCCAGUAGUAACUAGAAUGUGGUUGCUAGGCAGGCAGAGAAUAAAGGAAGGCCUUCCAGGCACACCUGUCCCAUGAGCCAUUGCUCUGUCUCCUGCAAUCCUGAGCCCUUAGCCAACCUAGCUCAUGGCUGGGGCAAGGGCAUCAGAAAAUGCUUUUCAUAAAAGCAGAUAAUGGGCUCAAUGGUAGGAGUGCCAGCACUCAGGAGGUUCCAGCAGCCCUCACCUCCAGCCUGGGGUCGCUAUACUCAUGGCCAUGCGUCGGUGCACAGGAAGUGAUAAGCAAGUCUGUUUUGAGAGCUGACAGCUGCCACAAGCCCUUUCUACAGCAUCCCCUGGAUGAGAUGGAUCCACCCAGCGGUAACUAAGGAUGCUCCUUCAGUACAAAGGACAGUGCCCGAGGGCCGGCUGCUGACCCCAUCUCUAUGCCUAGCAACAGCCACCAUUUUGUUUUUUUCUUUUUCUUUUUCUUUUUUUUUUUUUCGGAGCUGAGGACCGAACCCAGAGCCUUGCACUUGCUAGGCAAGCGCUCUACCACUGAGCUAAAUCCCCAACCCCAACAGCCGCCAUUUUAACCUCUAUUUUGUGUCCCUUUAGCACCUGGCUUCUCAUCCUAGGAACCAAGAGCUUGUCAGUUCUUCCGAUGUCACGUGACCUUCCGAUGUCACGUACUAAAGGAUGAAAUGCCUUGGAGAGGCCUGUGCAGGCUGAGGAAGGAAGGAAGGAUGAAGUAUGGUGACAGGCCUCUCUUUGCCUUCCAGGCAUGCAGACAAAGGCUCUGAGCAUACACCCACACGGGAACACAUGGGCAGGGAGUGGUGGCUCACACCUAUGUUCCGGGACUCCCGAGCUGAGGCAGGAGGAUUGUGAGUUCCAGGUCAGCUUGGGUUAUCUAGUAAGACCCUGUCUCAAAAGUGGAACAAAACGAGAAGGGGAAGAACAGAGUAGAACAAAACCAUCAGGCAAACAAGAUGGUGGGAAUGAUCUGUCCAUUCCUGGGAUCACAGCACUAGACAGGCUGAGGCAGGAGCCAGCAUAGGCUGCAUACAGGGGCAGAGGCUGGUAUGGUCUCAGUCUGAAUACAAAACAGGAACGAAUGAAUGGAAGCUGUGAAACCUCCUUCCCCCGCCCAACAAAAGGCACAUAAACCCAUAGAGAAACUCAGCACCCAUCGGGCAUCCUCUGAGGCUGAGCCCUUGACAAGCACUGGGAGACAGUGGACUCAUGGGAAGGGCGAAGCUGAAGUUGCCCAGGCCUGUGGGCAACAGCUCUCAGACACACAGGGAAGACACACAUCGACCGGCAUUUAGUUCUUUUUCCAUCCUUGUUGGUUUGUUUGAGGCAGAGGCUCACUAUGUAGCCCAGGCUGGCCUUGAACUCUUGAUCUUUCUGUCCUAGCCCUCUGGGUGCUGUGAUCAUGAGCUAUACCCCUAGCCUGGGCUCUUUUUCUUUUCCUGACUUUUGUAAAACUAUCCCAGAGAAAAAUCAAGCCUGUUGAACUUUGCAAAACGUGGACCAGCAGCUUGGCUGGAUGGGGAGGAGGUCUCCUACUUCACUCACCCUUGGUGUCCGCCAUAUUUGAUCCCUGCCUGCUCUUGUCUGAACAGUAACACUAGGGACAUGGCAGAGGGGUCCAAAGACAAUGAGGUGUGGAGACUUAAACCAACAAAUAUGUACUUAUUAUUGUCAACCCAAUGUGGCCACGCCAGUGGGCAAAGGUUCUGCUUCCUGUUUUCUGUCUCCUCGAAACCUUCACCUUUUCUGAGCCUCUGGGCCUGAGGGAAGGUCUUGGCCACAGUGCACUGUGGGAAGAACCAGCCUGCUUCUCCUCUGGGCCCCAGAGGCCAUAGGCUUCCUGAGUGUUUAAUGCUGAAAUUCCUCUCUUAAGCUUUGACUGUGGCCUUGGUCUGGCCCUGCCCAGCUAAGCCUUGGGUCUGAACCUCUGGACACAGAGGUGUGUGCCCAGCCCAUGCCUGGCACUCUGUCCCUGACAGUCAGGGUGAACAGGUUUGGCUGCUUGAGUUGACUGUAUGGCCUUUGCUUUCAAUGAGAUAAAUGAAGUCGGAACUUUUGGUGGCAGCCGAUGAAAACGUUUUGAACCCUGUUUGUGGAGUCCUUUGUCACUUGUGGAGAAGUCAGGACCUGAAGGUCCUUACUUAUAAGUGCUAUGUGUGUGUUUCCUGUAAGCAGACAUUCUCCUACUUAGUUACGGCACAGCCAUUAGAUCCAGGAAUUUAAUAUCAAUGUGUUACUGCCACCUCAUUGCCAGACCUCAUUCAAGUUUUACCAGUCAGCCCAACAGGGCCCUGUACACAGCGAGAGGAACUGGAUACAGUCAUGUGUUGCUGUCCCUUCUCUUUUGCCUUUCCUCUUCUCCCUUCCCCACCCCUCUCCUCUCCCCUUAUCUCCUCUUUUCCCCUUCUCUUCCCUCUGUACCCCUCCUGUGUCCUCACCUCUCUUCUCCUGUCCUCUCCACUCUCCUCCCCUCCCCUUUCCUCUCUCAUUCCCUCCCCUCUCCUCCCUUCCCCUUCCUCACCCCCCCCCCACUUCUACUUCCUCUCUUCCUCUCCCCACCUUUCUGCUGGGGACCAGACUCGAGGAGGGGGUGCUUGUCUAUAUAAACCCUUUAUUCUCCCUAACCUCCAUCCUUCCUCCCUUCCUCUCUUUCCUCUGCCUUCCUUGCUUUCUUUUUUGUAUGUUGGGGAUUGAACCAAGGGCCUUGUGCAUACUAGACAAAUGCUCGCCCACUAACCUGCCACUUCUAGCUCACAGUUACCGGGUCUUGUUAGAAACUUUUUAACCUGGGAAAGUUUCUCCCUCUUGGCACUGGUGAGUUUGACACUUCCCUGAGGAUAGUGGAAGCCUCCCAGUCUGGUUUCGUCUGAUAUUUCCUCCUGAUCAGAUUCCACUCGUGGGUUUGGGGUAGAGUCAUAGAGUCAGCGCCACAGUCUUCCUGCGGUGGCCUGGCAGGCAGUAAGUGACUUCAGUUUGUUCCAUUACUGGAGAUGUUAACCUUUGUCCCUUGGUUAAGACGGUGUCUGCAUGGUAAAGUUUUUUCCUCUAUGUAAUUAGAAAAUGUGGGGAGAGACUCUGUGUCUAUGUAAACAUCCCAGUCCUCAUCAAACUUUCUCCCAUCUCAGCAUCAUUGACAGUUCUCGGCUUAAUGAAUAUGAUGGUAGUAUCCAAGUCCAUUAUUCCCGCGACGUUCAUGUCCUCUCAGCACUGGGAGUGGGGUGGCUUCAGGCUGUCUUUGGUACCGUUCGACGUACCUCUUCCACCCUUUAAGUAUUUCCUAACUCUGGAACAAGGUGUUUCUGCACCAGUCCUGGAAAGAGCCAUUUCUCCACAGAGUGGGUAGUGUGUUUAUUUAGAUGAUAUUUUCAUUUGCUUUCUGUUGCCCUGAGAAACGGCAUGGCCAAAAGCUACCUGGGGAGGAAAGGGUUUAUUUCGCUUUAUUUCCACAUCAUAGUGCACCAGGAAGAGAAGUCAGGGCAGGAACCUGGAGGAAGGAACUGAAGCAGAGGACACAGAGUAACACUGCCUAUAGGUUUGCUUUUCAUGGCUAGCUCAGCCUGCUUUCUUAUACAACCCAGGCCCAGCAAGGGGGCAGCACUGGCCACAAUGGGUUUGGCCCUCUUACAGCAAUCAUAAUCAAGAAAAUGUCCAGAGGCUGGAGAGAUGGCUCAGCAGUUAAGAGCACAGACUGCUCUUCCGGAGGUCCUGAGUUCAAAUCCCAGCAACCACAUGGUGGCUCAUAAUCAUCUGUAAUGGGGUCCGAUGCCCUCUUCUGGUGUGUCUGAAGACAGCAACAGUGUACUCACAUAAAGUAAGUAAAAAAAUCUUUAAAAAAAUUAAAAAAUAAUUAAAAGAAGAAAAUGUCCCACAGCCUCGCCAUUCUGAGGGAGGGAGCCUCUAAGCUGAGACUCUGUCUUCCCAGAUAAGCACUGUUUGUGUCAAGGUAGCAAAAUGUAACCAGCACAUGUGCCAAGAUGCAGACACUGGCGGUGCUCAUUGCCUUUGAGGAUUUGCUGUUGGAUCCUUGAUUCAGGAAAAAGGAUACUGCUUCAAGCUUUACUAGUUCAAAGAAGUGGUCUUAAAAUGUGUUCAGUUGAAAAGCAGCAUGGGACUAAUGGGGGUUUUAAGGGAAGAUGAAUCAUGGUUAUCUACUAGUGUUCCCGGGGGACUGGUUCCAGAAGUUCCCCUCCCCCAUCCCAGACACGGAAAUCCAGGAUGUUCAUGGUUUACAAAGAAUGUUGGUCAAUGAAUUGUUACUUUCUUGAUGUCGCAAAUAUUUUGCUCAGGGCAAUGGCUUCUAGUUGUCUGGGACUUAAGGGUAUGAGGUCCUGCAGAGUGAAGAUUUUAGACCCAGGUCGGGGUGAAGCUUCCGAAGUUCAUUGCUGGGACUGUGAGGGCAGGAAGGCAAGAGGGAGGUGCGCACACACUGGGUGGACUCACUGAGGAUACUAAGUUGUAUUUUUCAUGUAGUGUUUACUUAAGACAACAAAAACAUCCAGUGCUUGUGAGGUGCCAAUCCAACCCUGUACCAAUUGUUCUCUUCUAAUCCUUGACAUAAUCUUGCAAAGUAGGUGCUUUCUUGACAUUGCAGAUAAAGAGUCUGAGCCUCCCACUGAAUUCGCCAGGAGCACGGAUCGGGACUCAAGUUUGACCCCACAUUUGUUUUGUGUCUAUUUUGGUGACCAGUCUCUCCAAAGUGGAAAUAUUUUUUUUUUUUUGGUUCUUUUUUUCCGGAGCUGGGGACCGAACCUAGGGCCUUGCGCUUCCUAGGCAAGCGCUCUACCACUGAGCUAAAUCCCCAACCCCGGAAAUAUUUUUAUGGUAUAAUUCUAUCCUCAUAACCCUGAUUCUAAGUGCAGGCAUAUUAUAGCCAAUGAGGAACUGUCUCAUUAACUUAUUGUCAUAUCAAUAUAUCAUACCAAUCAUAUCAUCAUUGUACUAUUGUAUACUAAAUGUUCUCUCUCUUCGUGUGUGUGUGUGUGUGUGUGUGUGUGUGUAAAAUGAUGGCUAUUUUCAUAAACAUUGUUUAACUGAAUUUUUUCCUCAAGGGUUACCUUAAUUUGACGGCCAGAUUCAAAACACAGUGGCUUACAAAAUAGGCAGCAUCUUCUUUAACAUAAAAAACCUAGCAUGUAUUUGAACUUAUAUGAUUUAUUGAAGGGCCAUCCAAAGGGCUUGUUGUGUACCAGAGACGAUGGCGGCACUAGAAGCUGUUCUGUGAUGUGGAAACUCUAAGGCCUUAAGAUAUCUGUGUUAUAUUUUUAUUGCUCAGUCAGAAAGCCAGAACCAGGGCACCUCAGUUACACAAACCCACAUUUCAGGGGCUGGGCAAAGCUGAGGGGAGAGUUGAGGGGAGCAAUGCUUAAACUAAGGGUUGGUUCACUCAGCUCAGGGAAAUGGGUGUGAGGUGGAUAGGUCCACGGGCUGGCUGAUGUCUGCGACAGUUCCUAAGUUCAUCUUAGCUCUAAAUAUAUAGUCACUACUUUAAAAAGGAAGGGCACAUUGAAUCACAUUUUUUUCUUUGUUCAACACAGGGUUUCAUUUUGUAGCACAGGCUGACAUGGAUCUUUCAAUUCUCCUGCCUCAGGCUCACCAGUGCUGGGGGUACAGGAGUGAGCGGCCAGCAGGCUUUCAUGCUGGAAGCUACUGGAGCUUGGAUGCUAAUUCACACCUCUGUGUUCUGUGGCCUUCACCGAGGCUGGCCAAUAGGGGGCGCGAGAGGGAGCCCAGUUGCUUGCUCUCUGUGGGCUUCCUGGCCACUAGCGUGCUGUGUGCCUUGCUUGGUCUGACAUCCAAUUGGCAGUCUUCCAGCACCCAAAGAGAGUCACCCUGAGAGCGUCUGCCUGCUCAGACCUACCAUGACCCCUGGGCUUCAGCUUCUCCCACAGGUCACAGUUAGACACCCUCUGACCUCUCUGUUGCCUGAACUUCGCUGUGGCUGCUUCGCCUACUAGUUCUGCCGUAGUCUCCCUCUGUCCUUCCAUGGCCAUAGCCAGUAGUCCUUUAUCUAGUUAAUUCUUUACACUGACAUCUCUGGUCCUUUAAGGGGAGCAGUCGUUGUCCCUCAGGAGAGACUCAUGGGAGGCCCUGAGCUGUUGAGGCCCUUGGGACCACAGGAUUCAUUUUUAUCAGUUGAUUGAGACACAAUCUCAUUGUAUAGCCCAGGCUUACCUGGAAGGCUUGAUUCUCACCCUCCCGUCUUCAGAGUAAUAGGAUCACAAGCACGUGCCUUUCAUGCCAGCAACGUGCCAGCGGACCUGUUCCUUGUUGGCUGUGGCUUGUUCCAGGGCUUUCUAGAUUGUUCUAGCUGGGUCGAAAUAAUAUCCAGCUGUCCUGAGAAAUUCCAACCAGGAUGUUUUGGGAGCUACACAUCCCAUAAAGUCAAGGGUAUGUGCUAAAGGGAGUUCAUUUCGAAUAGUCUCUUGAUAAAUGCACACAAGUAUUUUGAUUCGAUACAUUAAACGGCCAGCCUUUUUCAUUAGUGAGCAUUUAGUAAGGGUCAGGUGCUGCUGCGAUAGACAGUAGGGCGUGGGGGAGGAGGUAUUAGUCUUUACCUGGGGAGUCUGCUGUCUAACUGGGAAAGACACAAAAUACGGCAGACGGAGUAAGCACAGGCUCUUACUGACGUUCCCUUCUGAAUUCUGCAAACUUGGCAGUGACAUUUACUUAUUUAAUUCACACACACAAAAAAUUCUACAUCAGUUGGUUGUUUUGAAAGUGGGGCCUGGUUUUACAGGAUCUACCUACAGAACAGCAUACGUGAAGAGGAUUGUGUGAGUUUCAUAUUUGCUUAUGUACAGUUUUGUCCAUAUGACUCUGGAAGCUGCACCUAAUACUAUCCAGCCAGAUAGGAACCGUAAAAACGCACGCUUUGAACAUCUGCCAGCGGCUUCCACUCACUACCCACAUUCUGUGUGCGUCGGUAUUAAAGCCUUCUGUUGUUGGGUCUCAGGUCACUGUCCUGCCACUGCUGGGGAACACCUCACAAGUCUUAGCGAGUUUUACCACAUCCACUGCUACAAAAACUUGAACUUUGUUUUUUUCAACGAAAAGACCCCGCACUAGCGAUUUCUUAAUCAUUUAGUAAAGAAGCUGCCAUUUUUGCUUGGCUCCCGUCUUUUUUUUGGCUGUAACCGAUGAAGUUUUUGAAGAUUCAUGUUCCGACCUUACUUUUUCCUCUCUAAGCCCAGCGGUUUAGCAAUUGCCUGGGUUUGUGGAGCUUGGUGCUUUUUAGGAACACAUCUGUGUUUUUAUAGCAGCACAGCUGUUAUUUUAUGGCUGUACCGACCGAACACGGCAGCAGUGUUCUCAGCUGUCAGCAUGUGCAAUGGACAAAGAAAACAACAAAGGAGAUGAUUGCAGAAUGCUUGGAAAGGAGAAAGUAGGACAAGUCGAGACUUAGGCCUGAGAAUGCUGACUCCGGAGGCAUCUGUGGGAGAGGACUGAGAGAACUCUAGCUAGGGCCCUGGGCCUCCUAUUCUCUUGCUGAGUAACGUGGUGUAGAUGUAUAAAGCAGACCUGCACCAGGCCAGGCAAAGAAGAAUGGCUGCCGCAAAGACUGACAACUUACAGAGCUCAAAUUGGGUGAAGAGAAGUUUCAAGUCCUUAUUAAAUAGCCAGGGCAGAGACCCUUGAACGGUUGUGCUUUAACAGGAGGCCCAGGGUCACCUAGAAGACAGACUCACCUGAAUGUACCCAACGGAGCUCGGAGAUGGUAGUUGGAGGCUUUUAGCAAAGCUAUAUAUAGCUGGAGAGACCCAGGUGGUUGCACAGCUGGAGAGACCCAGGUGGUUGCACAGCUGGAGAGACUCAGGUGGCUGCACAGCUGGAGAGACCCAGAUGGCUGCCCAGCUGGAGAGACCAGGUGGUUUGGACUAGGCAGAAGAAUACACACAGGUCACUAGAACAGAUUAGAAUCUAGACACAGUCAUGGUCAACUGAUACUCUGUAAGCUCACAAGGCAAUCCUAUAGAGCAGGAACAGCCUUUCAAAAAAUGAACUGGAUAUUCAGAUUUAAAAAGUAAUUUAAUACAUUUUACACAAAUUGCACAAUUGUAGAUCACAAUUGCCCAAUAAAUUGCCCAAUUAAAGAAAAAAAAACCCACUAAAACUAUAAAACUUCCAGAACAGAAUGAGAAAACAACUUUGUAAUUUGAGGUAGGGAGAAAUUUCUUAGAUAAAACACAAAGACAUGGGGCAUAAAAAAAAUUGGAUGAAUUGGACUUGAAACCCUUUGGUUUUUGAAAGGUGCCAUCAGAAAAUUGAAAGACAGGGGACACCGAUCCGUGGUAGGACAGUUGAGUAGCCUGCCCAAGGCUCUGGGUUUGACUGAGUAAAAAUAUUUCACAAUUUAUAUAUCUGACUGAGGGCCUAACUGCAAAAUAUACACAGGAUACACUUCAAUAAGAAGACAAAUAGUUCAAUUUAAAGAGGGGAUGGGCUAUUUAUUAUAUGCAUCCUAGGGUAAGACAUAAGUGGCCAGUAAGCACGUGAAAUAGAUUUGUUGAUAAUUACUUGGAAAUCAAAUUACAACUGUCCUCGCUGUGACUGUACUAGGAGUGCUGAUAAUAUCAAGCGUCUACUAAACUGCUCAUAUCUUGCAGGGUGAUGGUAAAUGAUAUGGCUACUUUUUUUUAAUCUGGGACUGACCUUGAACUUGCCAUGAAGCUUGGCUGACCUUUAUUUUGGACUUCUUCUGUCUCAGCCUCCAAGACGCACACUGCCUUGCCAGUUUUUUUUUCCUUUGUUGUUGUUGAACAUUGUAAUCCAGAAAUUCUACCUUUAGAUACUUAUCCAGGAGAAAUGAACACUCUAGGGAUACAUUUUUUUUUUGCAACAUCUUUCUAGUAACGGUUCAACCUCUCCUCUAGCCCACCACCCAGCAGAGGUAUUGGGAGAGAGAAGUUAUUAGGAUAUCGGGGACAUGGACCUGUUCAGCAAUAGUUCUUUGGGGGGUGAGCUCAGUCUUUUUUUGUCAGCAGUUCAGUCCCACAGCAAACAUCAAAUACGAACCAGCAGCUGUCGCUCAAUCCUGAAGAAACUGCAAGGCUCGUCAACCGUCCUGAGGUGGGGCUGCGGAAGUGGCUAAGUUGCGGCAGGAAUGUCAUGGGGGAUUCUCUGCCGAGUUUCUCUUGAUGGCAGCAUUACCACAAGUGGAGCCCAACAAUGCCAAGUGAGGCAAACCAAUACAUGCGUGCUGUUAGUGAAGAGUAGUGAGGCAGAGCAAACCAAACCAGUGCUCCAUCUCCCACUGUCCGUGGGAUCGGAUUUAUACCCCUUCAUUGCGUGUUCCUUCACAUGUUUGCUAUAGCAAGACACCCUUUCACCUGUGCACCCCAGCAAAACAUCAUUUGACAUAGCUGACUUUCCAAACAAAUCAGAAGUUUCUAUUUCAGAACAUCGAUGCAUAGAAAAGCUCACACGGGGGCUGGAGAGAUGGCUCAGUGGUUAAGAGCACUGACUGCUCUUCCAGAGGUCCUGAGUUCAAAUCCCAGCAACCACAUGGUGGCUCACAACCAUCUGUAAUGAGAUCCCAUGCCCUCUUCUGGUGUGUCUGAACAGCUACAGUGUACUUACAUAUAAUAAAUAUUUAAAAAAAAAGUUCACACAAA